AUUGAACGCUGGCGGCAUGCUUUACACAUGCAAGUCGAACGGUAACAGGGAGCUUGCUCCGCUGACGCGUGGCGAACGGGGGAGUAAUAUAUCGGAACGUACCCAAGAGUGGGGGAUAACGUAGCGAAGGUUACGCUAAUACCGCAUACGAUCUAUGGAUGAAAGCAGGGGACCUUCGGGCCUUGUGCUCCGGGAGGGGCCGAUAUCUGAUUAGCUAGUUGGUGAGGUAAAGGCUCACCAAGGCGACGAUCAGUAGCUGGUCUGAGAGGACGACCAGCCACACUGGAACUGAGACACGGUCCAGACUCCUACGGGAGGCAGCAGUGGGGAAUGUUGGACAAUGGGCGCAAGCCUGAUCCAGCAAUGCCGCGUGAGUGAAGAAGGCCUUCGGGUUGUAAAGCUCUUUUGUCAGGGAAGAAACGGCUGUGGCUAAUAUCCACGGCUAAUGACGGUACCUGAAGAAUAAGCACCGGCUAACUACGUG
rnacentral:rRNA from 1 species